rnacentral:rRNA from 1 species
UCCUGGCUCAGGAUGAACGCUGGCGGCGUGCCUAAUACAUGCAAGUCGAACGAAUCUCUUUUAGAGAUGAGUGGCGAACGGGUGAGUAAUACAUAGGUAACCUGCCCCUGCGCGGGGGAUAACAGGAGGAAACUCCUGCUAAUACCGCAUAGCCAUGAGCACCGCAUGGAGCUCAUGCCAAAUAUCCUUUCGGGGAUAGCGCAGGGAUGGACCUAUGGCGCAUUAGCUAGUUGGCGGGGCAACGGCCCACCAAGGCAACGAUGCGUAGCCGGCCUGAGAGGGCGGACGGCCACAUUGGGACUGAGACACGGCCCAGACUCCUACGGGAGGCAGCAGUAGGGAAUUUUCGGCAAUGGGGGAAACCCUGACCGAGCAACGCCGCGUGAGCGAAGAAGGCCUUCGGGUCGUAAAGCUCUGUUGUAAAGGAAGAACGGCGCAUACAGGAAAUGGUAUGCGAGUGACGGUACUUUACCAGAAAGCCACGGCUAACUACGUG